UACGUAGGGUCCGAGCGUUGUCCGGAGUUACUGGGCGUAAAGCGCGCGCAGGCGGCGGUGCUGGCCCGGCGUGAAAGCCCCCGGCUCAACCGGGGAGAGUCGUCGGGGACCGCACCGCUUGAGGGCGGUAGGGGCUGGUGGAAUGCCUGGUGUAGAGGUGAAAUGCGUAGAGAUCAGGCAGAACACCUGGGGCGAAGGCGGCCAGCUGGGCCGUCCCUGACGCUGAGGCGCGAAGGCGUGGGGAGCGAACGGG
rnacentral:rRNA from 1 species